rnacentral:rRNA from 1 species
AUUGAACGCUAGCGGCAGGCCUAACACAUGCAAGUCGAACGAGUGGCGGACGGGUGAGUAAUGUCUGGGAAACUGCCCGAUGGAGGGGGAUACCUACUGGAAACGGUAGCUAAUACCGCAUACCAUCGGAUGUGCCCAGAUGGGAUUAGCUAGUAGGUGGGGUAAAGGCUCACCUAGGCGACGAUCCCUAGCUGGUCUGAGAGGAUGACCAGCCACACGGGAACGGAGACACGGUCCAGACUCCUACGGGAGGCAGAAGUGGGGAAUAUGGCACAAUGGGCGAAAGCCUGAUGCAGCCAUGCAGCGUGUAUGAAGAAGGCCUUCGGGUUGUAAAGUACGUUCAGCGGGGAGGGGUUACCCGAAGAAGAAGCACCGGCGAACGCCGUGCCAGCAGCCGCGGUAAUAC